rnacentral:rRNA from 1 species
UACGAAGGGGGCUAGCGUUGUUCGGAGUUACUGGGCGUAAAGGGCGCGUAGGCGGCGCAUCAAGUCAGGCGUGAAGGCCCUGGGCUCAACCCGGGAAUUGCGCUUGAGACUGGUGUGCUCGAGUACGGGAGAGGAUAGUGGAAUUCCCAGUGUAGAGGUGAAAUUCGUAGAUAUUGGGAAGAACACCAGUGGCGAAGGCGGCUAUCUGGACCGUAACUGACGCUGAGGCGCGAAAGCGUGGGGAGCAAACAGG